rnacentral:rRNA from 1 species
UGGGGAAUUUUGGACAAUGGGCGAAAGCCUGAUCCAGCAAUGCCGCGUGUGCGAAGAAGGCCUUCGGGUUGUAAAGCACUUUUGUCCGGAAAGAAAUCCUUGGCUCUAAUACAGUCGGGGGAUGACGGUACCGGAAGAAUAAGCACCGGCUAACUACGUGCCAGCAGCCGCGGUAAUACGUAGGGUGCAAGCGUUAAUCGGAAUUACUGGGCGUAAAGCGUGCGCAGGCGGUUUGCUAAGACCGAUGUGAAAUCCCCGGGCUCAACCUGGGAACUGCAUUGGUGACUGGCAGGCUAGAGUAUGGCAGAGGGGGGUAGAAUUCCACGUGUAGCAGUGAAAUGCGUAGAGAUGUGGAGGAAUACCGAUGGCGAAGGCAGCCCCCUGGGCCAAUACUGACGCUCAUGCACGAAAGCGUGGGGAGCAAACAGGAUUAGAUACCCUGGUAGUCCACGCCCUAAACGAUGUCAACUAGUUGUUGGGGAUUCAUUUCCUUAGUAACGUAGCUAACGCGUGAAGUUGACCGCCUGGGGAGUACGGUCGCAAGAUUAAAACUUAAAUGAAUUGACGGGGUCAUAGCUGUUUUUCU